GGAACUUCUUUGUUUAUUCACUAAGGGUUGAAAUACUCAUGUUGGAGUCUGGAGGAUUUUGGUUCGAUGGAUUUACUACAAACUAAUCAAGCGUUUAUGCCAAACUUGAAUGACAACAAAAUAGAAGUUUUAAGCUUGCAAGUUACUUGUAACGCCUAUGGAAGGAAUGGUCUACACCACAGUACUGUUCAUGGAGAAUGAUUUGGAUGAUUUCGUUAGGCGAGAAGGAUGAAUGUUACGUUGUUGGAAAAGCAGUGUUGAUACCCUUUAUACUCCAAGAUCUGAAGGCGAAAGUUUGUUCCCUCCAAUGUUAAGUCCUUCUCUUUUAAUGGAUUGAAGAGUGCAACAAGGAAUUUUAGACCUAACAGAGGAAGGAGAGGAAAGAAGAUGUGUCUAAGCUUUUAAAUUUCAGAUGAACACUUCAAGGGUCCAUUGAAAUGUGUUGGAGGAUAUAAUACUGUAAGGGUCUUGACCUCUUAUUUGAGUAUCAAUCUAUAUGUGUUCAUGAGAAGCAUAUGCCUUUUUUUAUAUACCUAUUAUUUUUAUUUGGCAUUGCAAUUCUUCUGAGAUUUUAAUUUUCUUUGUUUUUGUAUCAAAUUGAUGUUCUUAGAAAGAGGCUUGAGGCUAACAAA